AUCUAUGAAAGUGCUCAUUUGUACCUACUAUUUUCCAGACUAAAAUAAAGGAAGUAAAAUUCUCCUGAGCGGAGAAGAAUGCUUUCUGUAUAGAAGCCAGGUAUCUGGUAAUCAUCGCCUGGACUGCCAUAACACAUGUACCCAAACUGCCUAACUUAAAUACGUUUAUAAAUGACUGGGUUGCCACGUUUUUGCAGUUUCCCCAUUAUUGUAUGUUGAUCAAUUCAGGUAGCUCAUGAGCAUUUGCCUAAAAAUAAAUACCAGAUAUAGUUAGAGGCCAUUUAUAUCCAAACAUCUUUAAGUAAGAUUAAGUUAGGGAGAGUGCUCUGACCUUUAGUAAUAUUGAAAAAUAAGAAGAAAAUAUACCACUAAUAGUUGUGCUGAACUGCUGUGUGGUGAAUAAUAUUCAGCUAUAUUUUGAGUGGAUGCUAUAUAAGAGCUGUUUUUAAAGAGCACUCCCUCCCUCAGAUUAUGUUUCAGCCCUACUUGUACAUUGAGCAUAAAUCAAGUAUGCAGUCUCAAAGAAGAUACUUUAUGCUUCUGAUCUCCACCUGACAUAGCACAUUGGGCAAGUGUCCAGACAUUCUUGUACAGGUAUUCUGCUCAGUUAUACUGGUUAUUUUGCCAAAUGUUUUCUCUCAUCCAUUUUUUUAAAUUCCUGUUCAGAGACUAUACUAUAGUGAUAGUAUAAUAUACCCCAACAGCAUCCUCAAGGAGAGUCAUGGCCCUCGUGUAGCUGUCGAGCAACUGAAAUGUGACUGAUGUGACCAAGUGGCUUGGUGUACUUUUAUUUAAUGUUACAACUGGAAAUUAAAUGUAGAAAGCUGUGCCGCAUUGUUGGAUUGGGGGGGAGUAUAUUGAAAAUACAGAGAUAGCUAAGAUGCUCUUGUGAAAAUUCUUAAAUACAUAUGCAAGCAUACAUAAAGCUACUCUGCCCUUGGAUCCUGAUAGGCCAACUGAUUGACUUUUUCUUUCCUUUUUUUUUUCUUUUUCUUUUAGUAACAUAUGCCUUUUUAUUGGAUAUGUUCUUUAUUUACAUUUCAAAUGGUAUCCCUUUCCUGGUUUCCCUCCCAGAAAGCUCCAAUCCCAUCUCCCCUCCCCCUGAUUCUAUGAGGGUGUUUCCCCACCCCUAAUACCCUGGCUUCAUUUAACAGUUCCCAAUAACCCUUGCCAAGAUAUCAAUGUUUUGGUAAUUCAUAUCCUUUGCAUUUGGAUAUAGUUGUUAAAUAUUAAUUCUAUUUUUUUGGUGGAAUUCUUGACUGAGAAACUAUGUUGCAUUGGUGUGAAACAAAAAUAAACAUUAUUCAUAUGUACUGCAGAUUUUAGUAUAUUUUUAGUUCAUUAUUAUGAGGCAAUUUGAGUGUAUCUAGGUCACUAAGUUCACCUCUUAUGUUCCUUAGAUAUAUGUUAAAUGAAAUGCAUGCUAUAAGAAAUAAAAUUUCCCUUAAAUAUAAGAGAUUUUAUGUAGGAAGGCUACUCUUAAGCAGAUACAAAUGGCUGCUCAUCCUUCUCACCCCCCUUGUCUCUCUAAGGGUACCAUCAGUGCCCAAAUCUAUUGAACCCAUCACAUUCUAUUUUCUUUACUGAUCUAUUUUAAUCUAAAUCUGUAAAUAUUACCCUCCUUCUUGAUUAGCCUUUCUUCUCUACAUUUACUUUCAAGUAAUGUAAUAGUCUGUAACUACUUUUAACCUGUCCCUUUAGACUAUCAAGAAUUCUACAUUUAAGGAUAUAUUGUUUUAGAACAAUGGGUAUUACAAUAAUACAAUUACAAGAAGCAUAUCUAAGAAGAUGAAAGUAAUACAGCACUCUAUUAUGUUAAGAUUUGGCAUUUUUGACACCAGCUUGAUAGUUCAGUGAAUGUCCAUUUGCCUCAAGUGGUUUUUUCCAAAUAAUGAGUUAGUUCUCAUUUUUCGCUACAACAAAUUGAGGCACUAAGUUCAUGUCUGUGGGCUGAAUAACAAAACAGCUGAGGGUCAUAUGAACUCCCCUUAGUUUUCAUUGUCUUCUUUUGUUCGUGUGGUUACAAAUACCUAUUUUAUCCAGUCUUUUUAACAACAUAUCAGUACAUUCUGGGAGGCCCAAUGUACUGACUCUUAAAUAGGAUGUAGUAAAUGCUUUCCUUUGGUUUUAUUUGUAGUUGGCAUAAGUCUUUUUUUUUCUGGGUUUGCUGAGAGAGGUCUGUAAUUUGAGCAUUCAGGAGGCUGAGGCAGGAGACUUGUGAGAACAAAUCAGGUCUGGACUUUCUUAAACUCUCCCUUUCUUGGAUAUCUUAGACUCUCCCUUUCUUAGAUAUAGGAGAGAGAAAAGACAUGAAAGGAAAAUGAGUGAAAGCAAUCACUUGAGAAUAUGCUGUGUACCUUUAUCUUAAACAAUGUCAAAUUUUGGAGUAUCCUCAUAAAACUUUAGUUUCAAAAAAGUUGGACGUUCACAUUAGC
rnacentral:lncRNA from 1 species